rnacentral:rRNA from 2 species
CGGACGGGUGAGUAACACGUGGAUAACCUACCUAUAGGACUGGGAUAACUUCGGGAAACCGGAGCUAAUACCGGAUAAUAUAUUGAACCGCAUGGUUCAAUAGUGAAAGACGGUUUUGCUGUCACUUAUAGAUGGAUCCGCGCCGCAUUAGCUAGUUGGUAAGGUAACGGCUUACCAAGGCAACGAUGCGUAGCCGACCUGAGAGGGUGAUCGGCCACACUGGAACUGAGACACGGUCCAG